AUGAUUAUUCACCAGGACCUCAUCAGCCACGAUGAGAUGUUCUGCAACAUUUACAAGAUCCAGGAGAUGGCUGUGCCUGGAGGUGGAGGAGAAGAUGGUCACUAGGACAGAGAGUAGCAUUGAUGACUCCCUCAUUGGUGGAAAUGCCUCCACUGAAGGCCCAAAGGGCAAAUGUACAGAAAGCACUGUAAUCACUGGUGUUAAGAUUGUCAAGAACCAUCCCUUGAAAGAAAGCAGCUUUACAAAGGAAGCAUAAAGAAGUACAUCCAAGAUUACAUGCAAUCAAUCAAAGGCAAACUUGAAGAACAGAGACCAGGAAAGACUAAAACCUGUUACGACAGAGGCUGCAGAACAAAUCAAGCACACCCUUGCUAAUUUCAAAAACAAUACCAGUUUUUAUUAGUGAAAACCUGAACCUAGAUGGCAUGGUUGCUCUAUUGGACUACCAUGAGACUGGUGUUACUAUUGCUUUUAAGGUUGGUUUAGAAGUGGAAAAAUGUUAA
rnacentral:lncRNA from 10 species